CCUACGGGAGGCUGCAGUAGGGAAUAUUGCUCAAUGGGGGAAACCCUGAAGCAGCAACGCCGCGUGGAGGAAGAAGGUUUUCGGAUUGUAAACUCCUUUUGUUAGAGAAGAUAAUGACGGUAUCUAACGAAUAAGCACCGGCUAACUCCGUGCCAGCAGCCGCGGUAAUACGGAGGGGGCAAGCGUUACCCGGAUUCACUGGGCGUAAAGAGCGCGUAGGCGGGAUAGCAAGUCAGAUGUGAAAUCCUAUGGCUUAACCAUAGAACUGCAUUUGAAACUGUUAUUCUAGAGUAUGGGAGAGGUAGGUGGAAUUCUUGGUGUAGGGGUAAAAUGCGUAGAGAUCAAGAGGAAUACUCAUGGCGAAGGCGACCUGCUAGAACAUAACUGACGCUGAUGCGCGAAAGCGUGGGGAGCAAACAGGAUUAGAUACCCGGGUAGUC
rnacentral:rRNA from 1 species